UCUCCGCUCGGACUCGAGUCCGAGUUGGUCUCGCGCCUGGCUCCUCCUCUGUCUUGGGGUCCACUCGCAAAAUCCCUUCUCCGCAUCUACAGCAGCGCACCGCCGAUGUUUCCUUGCGCCGUCGUGCCGCAUUGGUCUCCGUCGCAGCCGUCUUCCGCCGCCUCGAGUUUCCCCGUUCAGCUUCGCGUUCAACUCCGCCCGAACGAGUUCGCCGGAACCGCCGUCCGCGGCCGCGCAUCGUACCGCAUCCUUCGCUGCAGGAACUUGCUAGUCGAGUUCGUCGUCUCCUCCGCUUCACCCUGGCCGAAUCCCCGCUCAAAUCCGCGCCCCGACGCGCGAUUCCGGUGAAGUCCGGCGAACCGCCGCUGACCCGCCACGGUUCGUCGUCCCAGCUUCGCCGCCGCCGCGUAGAGCCGAGUUGGCCGUCGUCGGCCACCGCUCGCCGUCAUCCUGGUCGCGGCCGCCUAGCGCCGCCACCCGGCCGGCAGCCGCCGGCAGGAAGGCCGGACUGUAGCGGGCCGAUUCAACAGGAAGGAAGAAGAAAGAAGUUCUGAUCUAACCCCAAGGUUUCAGCUUUUCGCGGGCUCUGUUCUCUGUGUAUCGAAUGAACGUGCUUCGAGGACAUUCGAGAGCAAGAAAUCGAAGACAUUCUGAGCAGCAACACUACUUAUAGAAA